rnacentral:rRNA from 1 species
CAACGCGCGUGGGGAUGAAAUCCCUUGGGAUGUAAACUCCUUUCGAGUCGGGAAGAUAAUGGCGGUACCGAGAGAAGAAGCCCCGGCUAACUUCGUGC